rnacentral:rRNA from 1 species
CCUACGGGCGGCAGCAGUGGGGAAUAUUGGACACUGGUGGAAACCCUGAUCCAGCGACGCCGCGUGAGUGAAGCAGUAUUUCGUUACGUAAAGCUCUAUCAGCAGGAAAGAAAAUUACGGUACCUGACUCAGAAGCCCCGGCUAACUACGUGCCAGCAGCCGCGGGAAUACGUAGGGGGCACGCGUUAUCCGGAUUUACUGGGCGUAAAGGGAGCGUCGACGGAGGCGCAAGUCCUGAGUGAAAUGCCGGGGACCAACCCCGGAACUGCUCUGGAAACUGUGGAGCUGGAGUGCAGGAGAGGUAGGCGGAAUUCCUGGUGUAGCGGUGAAAUGCGUAGAUAUCAGGCGGAACACCGGCGGCGAAGGCGGCUUACUGGACUGUAACUGACGUUGAGGCUCGAAGGCGUGGGGAGCAAACAGGAUUAGAUACCCGAGUAGUC